rnacentral:rRNA from 1 species
GAUGAACGCUGGCGGCGUGCUUAACACAUGCAAGUCGAGCGGGAAACUUCGGUUUCCAGCGGCGGACGGGUGAGUAACACGUGGGCAACCUGCCUCACAAUGAGGGAUAGCCUUCCGAAAGGAAGAUUAAUACCUCAUAACACAAGAGAAACGCAUGUUUCUCUUGCCAAAGAAUUUCGUUGUGAGAUGGGCCCGCGGCGCAUUAGCUUGUUGGUGAGGUAACGGCUCACCAAGGCUUCGAUGCGUAGCCGACCUGAGAGGGUGAUCGGCCACAUUGGAACUGAGACACGAUACAGACUCCUACGGGAGGCAGCAGUGGGGAAUAUUGCACAAUGGAGGAAACUCUGAUGCAGCAACGCCGCGUGAGUGAUGAAGGUCUUCGGAUUGUAAAGCUCUGUCUUCUGGGACGAUAAUGACGGUACCAGAGGAGGAAGCCACGGCUAACUACGUGCCAGCCGCCGCGGUAA